GACGAACGCUGGCGGCGUGCUUAACACAUGCAAGUCGAACGAAGUGGCGAACGGGUGAGUAACGCGUAAUCAACCUGCCCUUCAGAGGGGGACAACAGUUGGAAACGACUGCUAAUACCGCAUACGGAAGGGGGGGAUUGCGUCUGAUUUGCUAGUUGGAGGGGUAACGGCCAACCAAGGCGAGGAUCAGUAGCCGGUCUGAGCGGUGGAACGGCCCCAUUGGGACUGGGGCCCGGCCCCGACGCCUACGGGAAGCAGCAGGGGGGAAUUGUCCGACAUUGACGGAAAGCUGACGGAGCACCGCCGCCUGAGUGAUGACGGGCUUCGGGUUGUAAAGCUCCGUUCAGCGGGACGCGUUACCGGAAUAGAAAGCCACGGCUAACUACGUGCCAGCAGCCGCGGUAAUUC
rnacentral:rRNA from 1 species